UGCAAGUCGAACGAGCUUCCGUUGAAUGACGUGCUUGCACUGAUUUCAACAAUGAAGCGAGUGGCGAACUGGUGAGUAACACGUGGGAAAUCUGCCCAGAAGCAGGGGAUAACACUUGGAAACAGGUGCUAAUACCGUAUAACAACAAAAUCCGCAUGGAUUUUAGUUUGAAAGGUGGCUUCGGCUAUCACUUCUGGAUGAUCCCGCGGCGUAUUAGUUAGUUGGUGAGGUAAAGGCCCACCAAGACGAUGAUACGUAGCCGACCUGAGAGGGUAAUCGGCCACAUUGGGACUGAGACACGGCCCAACUCCUACGGGAGGCAAGCAGUAGGGAAUCUUCCACAAUGGACGAAAGUCUGAUGGAGCAUGCCGCGUGAGUGAAGAAGGGUUUCGGCUCGUAAAACUCUGUUGUUAAAGAAGAACACCUUUGAGAGUAACUGUUCAAGGGUUGACGGUAUUUAACCUAAAGCCACGGCUAACUACGUGCC
rnacentral:rRNA from 2 species